rnacentral:SRP_RNA from 2 species
GCCGGGCGCGGUGGCAGGCACCUGUAAUCCCAGCUACUUGGGAGGCUGAGGCAGGCGAAUUGCUUGAGCCCAGGAGGCAGAGGCUGCAGUGAGCCGAGAUCAUGCCACUGCACUCUAGCCUGGGCGACAGAGCAAGACUCCGUCUCAA